ensembl:lncRNA
CGCAUGCCACCUAAAACAUACCUGUUUGGGUGUGUAUUUACACAGAAUUUAUGGAAAAUAAAUAUUUAGGACGUGUUUUGGUUUGGGUAUUUGUCAGCCAGUUAUGACCAUUUCUGCCUUGGACUAGAUGUCAUUUAAGUAAUUUAAUAAUUGAAACCCUUUUUUUUUUGUUAAUUUUAAUUAUUCUUUUGCACCACUAUAUCCUGAGUGCCAGUCUGUUUUUGCCCGCAGGCCAACUCCUUACAGCCUGGUAGAUCAAACGCCAUCUUGCCAACUCGUGUUUGUUCGCAACAUUUAGGAUUUCAAAUUGUGUUGUCCGCAAGAUCACAGCUGUCCUCAAACAAAUACCUGGCUAUGCUAAUCUUGUCCAACACUCUGGGUGUCUCCAAACUUUUCUGUUUAGCUGUGUAUUGAUCAGUCUGCUGACUAUGAGGCUACUGUUAUCACCCAGAUUGCGGGAUGCAGGUUUUGGUUCCUGCCUGGCACUAAUACAGCCGAUUGUUAUUCUAAUCACUUUGCCGGCUAACUGCCCACCGACUGACUGUUUGGGUUGGAACAGAUCCCAAACAUGCACCUUCCGAGAACGUCCUAGGAACCGCUUGAGUAUUGAAGGUCAAGGAAGGUCAAAAACCUUUACAGAGUUGCAGUAUUCCAGUAACUUUCUCAAAAUUCCGAAGACAUCCUGGUUGAAAAGCUUUCAGGAUUUCUUGCUUAUUCCCCUCUGCUUCUGGAAAUCUUCUUAUUGGGAUUUUGGGAAAACCAUUCCUGGAAAAUCUUGCAAAUCCUUAACAAACACCCCUGUAAAAAGCGGCAGUCUAGCCAAUCAGUUCAUUGCCUAAUGCCUUUAUCACACGAGGAGCUAUAAUGAGUUAACAUCCUCAUUUCCAGGUGCUAAGUUUGGCCUUUCCCAUUCUGACGGUGAUUCAUAUUGAGGCAAUAUGACUGUUAUUUUCCAUUAUGUCUGGCAUUAUGUAUAAGUCCGGAGCUGAAUGUACUUUUGAUUUCUACUCGUGUUGUUGUAUUGAUACAGUGUAUCUGGGUGCUGAUUGGCUAUUUCCUCGUGUCCACAAUGAUGUUGUUUCACUGCAGUGUUGUGUUGCUGAAUCACUACUGAAUCAGCUCUGCAGAAUCCAUCUCAGUGCAUGAAGACUUUACACACACACACACACUCUAAUCAGUUGGCGUAAAACAUCUUAAUGCAUGUAACACUGUAGCGUGAAUCCAUGGUGGGAGACUGGCAGAAUUAGGGGACUGUUAGCUCCCUCUCUUGUGUGUUUGUCUUGACAGCUGCGAUGCUACAGACAGAGUCCUGUGACCAGCCUGACUAGGAGCAAAAUGGCCGCGAACAAGCUCAAACACUGAGGGACUGUAGCCGGGAUUCAAUCCGGAGAGCAGGAAAUCUGAGUCACGUAAAAAUGUGGCGGCAGUUCACGAUUUGUCGACACGUUCCUAGUGCCUCCGCGAACGCAGGAACACGUCCUGUACAUCGCAGUCGAGCCGCGGCUCAUAUGUCCAGAACUCUUGAUUGCAUCUAACUUGAAACUGUUCACAAUUAAGAAAAAAAAUGUUGUUUUUCUGUUGCAGAGCAUUCUGAACUGUUUUAAAUGCCUUGCUAUGUUGUGUACCAAUAAACAGAGCCAUGUUUAACUUCAGCAGUGCGUGUUUAGCAGUGUCGAAGUGUUGAAAUCGCCUAAUAGGGCUGAGGACCGAAGGUUUUCUCAGGAAAAGGGUUCCUGUGUCAGAUUUGGCAAACUAGUUAUUAUGCAAUGAGACCUAUAUAUUUUUUAUAUUUUUUAAAUAUGAAAAAUAAAAAUAAUGCUUUGUUUUGUUUUGUAAUUUUAAAGAGAGAAAAAUAAGGGCAUUCAUUUUUGGUUGUGAUACUUAAUAGAUUGUGAUCCUCAGGACAGUUUUA